AUUGAACGCUGGCGGCAGGCUUAACACAUGCAAGUCGAGCGGAGAUGAGGUGCUUGCACCUUAUCUUAGCGGCGGACGGGUGAGUAAUGCUUAGGAAUCUGCCUAUUAGUGGGGGACAACAUUCCGAAAGGGAUGCUAAUACCGCAUACGUCCUACGGGAGAAAGCAGGGGAUCUUCGGACCUUGCGCUAAUAGAUGAGCCUAAGUCGGAUUAGCUAGUUGGUGGGGUAAAGGCCUACCAAGGCGACGAUCUGUAGCGGGUCUGAGAGGAUGAUCCGCCACACUGGGACUGAGACACGGCCCAGACUCCUACGGGAGGCAGCAGUGGGGAGUAUUGGACAAUGGGGGGAACCCUGAUCCAGCCAUGCCGCGUGUGUGAAGAAGGCCUUAUGGUUGUAAAGCACUUUAAGCGGGGAGGAGGCUACUGAGACUAAUACUCUUGGAUAGUGGACGCUACUCGCAGAAUAAGCACCGGCUAACUCUGUGCCAGCCGCCGCCGUAAUAC
rnacentral:rRNA from 1 species